AUUUCUGGAUGAGCCAUAAAUCUGCAUAUUGAGCUCGAGUAAGGAGCUAGGAUGGUUAAUUUUUAAGUGUCACAUGUCUCAUGUAUAUCAUUUUUUAAAUUCUAAGUUCUUAUGCAUGUAUUUUUGUAAAUACUUAGUUCAUCAUGAACCAUAGAAAAGCCACAUGUGGAUCCCACAAGUGCUUGUUUCUAUGUUUCUUGAUGUACUGUGUUCACCUAAGAAUUUCAAUUAAAAAAGCUUUUACUUUCUUUAUCGUUAAUUUGUUUAUGUUUUCUUAAAAGCAUACAAGUGAAUGGCUAUAAACUUUACAUGGAUGAUCGUGAUUUUACAAUUCUCUAUUUGUUCUGUUAGUAUACUUUAUCUCUUUAACAUCAAUUUCCUA
rnacentral:misc_RNA from 1 species